rnacentral:siRNA from 1 species
AGCAAAGACUAAGUUUGGGGAGU